rnacentral:snRNA from 1 species
GUGCUCACUUUGGCAGCACAUACACUGAAACUGGAGCCAUACAGAGAAGAUUAGCAUGGCCCCUAAAUAAGGAUGACAUGCAAAUUCAUGAAGUGUUCAUAUUUUUU